rnacentral:lncRNA from 1 species
UUAUUUUAAUUGACAAAUACAUAUUGAACACAUAUGGUGUAUAGCAUGAAGUUUUGCAAGUAUGUCUGUCUGCACUGUGGAAUGGCUAAAUCAAGCCAAUGAACAUCUACACUACCAUACAUCCUUAUUGAUGAAGAGAAUGUAGCAGGAUGAGCUGCAGACAAAACUCUUGAGACACUGGAUUAAAGAAGGAAGAGGUUUUUAUUUGGCCGGUAGCAUUGGCAGACUCAUGUCUUAAGAGCCAAGCUCCCCCAAAAAGAAAUUCCUAGCCCUUUUAAGGGCUUACAACUCUAAGGGGUCCACGUGAAAGGGUCAUGAUAGAUCAAGUAAGCAUGAGGAAUGUGACUGGAGGCUACAUAUAUCAGCUAACAGAACAAAAAGUUUUACAGUGCUUUCUCAUACAAUGUCUGGAAUUUACAGAUAGUACCAGUAGUUUUUAUCGGUAAUAAGAAAAAGGAUGGCUUAAUAGUGCCAAUAACACAACUGUCUGCCCAUUCAUUAGGUAACUGAAUGUAGGCUCUCUGCCCACAUAUCCAGUAUAGUCCAGCGAGAGCCAUCCAGUCCUGAUGAGAUCCUGGACAAGCCCCCAUUAUAUCAGGAGCUGGAUCAGUGGGCACCAACUCUCAGGCUUCCCAAGGGUUACACAUUCUCCCUUUUUCCAAUGGGGAUCUAGGGGAUUGGUAAUUAUUAGUUCUAGUGGGUUACAGUGACUGGCAGCACAGGAGGGGUUGGCUUCCCCUUUCUGAAGAUGAACCAAGUCCUUUUUGUUCUUUUUCCAAGUAGCCUAAAUAACACAUGGCCAAAAGGCACAAUUUUCACAAACCCCUGACUCAUGACAAACAUAUUUAUUUUCUACUCUGUAGCUCCUUUCCCAGUUAAGAGAACCACAUCCUGUUCCUAGCUUGUUACUAUUAAUGGCUGCACAAGCGUCAAAUCUUAAAGUUACUUGUUUGGGGAUUCCUUUUUCUUCUGUUCUAGUUAUUAUUUCACUUGUAUCACCUAGGAAAAGGCCAGUUCUUAAUCUUAUUUCAAAACUGGUGGUUGUAGGGGGCUCAGAUGGGUUAUAACACACAUCAGGUCAGUCAUUUCCUGGGCUACAUACCUUGUACUGAGUGGCAUUAUACAAACAAGUCUCUUUUAACGUUCCCAUACAUUGAUAAUAACUAUAGAACAGAAAGAUUGUUUUCAUUUGCUGUCCUACCUCACUGACCUGAUGAAUACACUGGGAAUAGUCCCCAGUUUGAGUAAGAACAGUUGAAGCCCUUACUGUAAGUCCAAAAUUUAAGAAAAAUGAAGCCCACAAUGAGCUUCCUCAUGCUUCGGCUGUGCGUGGACCAGUCAGCUUCUGGGUGUGACUGGAGCAGGGCUUGUCAUCUUCUUCAGGGUCACUCUGCAGGGGUUGUCCAGACUUGGUCUUGCCUCCCAGGAUUCAGGCGCUGCAGGUUUUACACGGUUGUGAUGGAUCCAGGCUAGGAUUCUCUCUACGUUCACAGCAGUGGGAGUGAUCAGGACGACAGUCUGGGGUCCUUUCCACCAUGGGCACAAAGAGGCUACGUUCC